UACAGAGGGUGCUAGCGUUGUUCGGAUUCAUUGGGCGUAAAGGGUGCGUAGGCGGCGCGGUAAGUCGGGUGUGAAAUCUCGGAGCUUAACUCCGAAACUGCAUUCGAUACUGCCGUGCUUGAGGACUGGAGAGGAGACUGGAAUUUACGGUGUAGCGGUGAAAUGCGUAGAUAUCGUAAGGAAGACCAGUGGCGAAGGCGGGUCUCUGGACAGUUCCUGACGCUGAGGCACGAAGGUCAGGGGAGCAAACGGG
rnacentral:rRNA from 1 species